GGCCAUGGUGCGAUACUCCUGCCAGGACCGGUGCCGCUUCCUCUACCUUCUCAUCCCUCUCCUGGAGCACGGUGACAAGAAGCACAAGAUCACUGCCACCGCCUUCUUCGUGGAGCUCCUCCAGAUGAAGAAGGUGCGGCGGAUCCCCGAGGUAUACUCUCUGGGUCGGAUGGUGGAAGGCCUGGGCCACCAAGACCCUGUCAUGAAGGUGCUGUCCAUCCGGGGCCUGAUGAUUCUGGUCCGCAGGUCGGAGAAGGUGAGUGGGGGAUGGAGGAAAUCCUGCCCAGGGAGGCCUCCGACUGGAGGGAGGCCAAGCUGGGCCACCACAGUCUUUCGGACACUGGUGGUUAGAAUCAGAGCCCAUCUCUGUCCAGCCUCCGUGAUCCCAUCUAUGACACAGAUCUGCCUUCACAGUCCCGAUAUAUUUUAUCCUUUUUUGAAGAGUUUCUAGUCCAGAUUUUUCCCAGUGACCCUAAAGAUGGAUGUGUCGGGGGAGCAAUGGUGGCAGUAAUUAUUCUUAUUUUACAGAUCAGGAAACUGAGGCCCCGGGCAUUAGUUGGUGUACCGUUAGCAUUUAUAAAUGUGCUUUGUUUUUUUCUGCCAGGCAUUGUUUUGGCUCACGAUGUGGCCAGGAUGAAGGGACAGGACAUAAACUCAGAAAGCCAGUUCACAAUGUGGGCUAUCAUCCUUCCAGAGCUGGUGAAGGGGAUAAGAUGCCAAAGGGCCUCAAGGACCCAGGCCAGGCAGGAAUCAGGGAGCCAGAGAGGGCCCCAGACAGCAGCCAGAACUUGAGUGAGGGCCUUGUAGGCAGGAGGCCGUGCACAGGCAAAGGCCUGGUGGUGGAAGUGGGGCCACCCUGCUCAUCCUGGUGAAUCCGGCUGGGCUCCUCCUCACUAGUCCAUAUAGGACUCCCCACUCCCAAGGGCUUCUGCCCCACAGAUGGCCAAGGUGCAGGCCCUGUUGCCCUCCAUGGUGAAGGCCCUGAAGAGCCUGGAUGGGGUGCUGGUGAUGGAGGCAGUCGACAGCCUCAAGACCAUCUUCAAGG
rnacentral:lncRNA from 1 species